AACGGCUCCGUAUAUCUGUUAUCACCAAUUGCCCUUGUUAAGCCUAGCAUACCGGCCAGCGGAUAUGGCACGGUAAUUCUGUCAGUAAUACGUUCAGCGUGGGGUGCUUCAUCGCUCCCACAGCUAGCAUAUGGUGUGGGUCCGUUCCUUCGUCAACGGCCAGGGCUCCUCAGCCAACCCCACCAUUACUUCAAUGCUAUGGCUUUGCACUGUGAUCAGCGACUUCAGGGACUGGGGGGUUUAUGAUUGCGUGCAAAUGUGCCGAACCCUGGGGGGGGGAGGCAUUGGGUAUCAGACCUAUCAACUCGGAGGCUGGGUAAGUGCCAGCCUCGGUGAUAACGGGUACAGAGGAUCAGGGUUCGGUCCUGGAGAGGUAGCCUGAGAGAUCGCUACUACUUCUAAGGAAGGCAGCAGGCGCGCAACGUUCCCAAUGGGGUGCUACCCCUGAGGACGUGAAGGGACAUAACAAUGCCCCCCCUCAUAAAGGGGGGGUAAUUGCAAUGGGGGCGUCACAAACCUCCCACCGAGUAACAAUUGGAGGACAAGUCUGGUGCCAGCACCCGCGGUAAUUCCAGCUCCAAUAGCAUCUAUUUAAGUUGUUGCAGUUAAAACGCUCGUAGUCAGAGCAGGGCGUGUCUACCCCCUGAAAGUACCCCACGCGAUUUACAUAGUCGCGUGCAAGCGAAAUUGGGGUUUGGUUCAAGGGCAUUGCCUAUGGUUCCCCCCCCCGGCGCCUGGACCCUGUGCCGGCUGGGGUGUGGGACUUUUCCUUGAGGAAAUGUGAGCGCUCAACGCACCCCACACGGGGUAUGUAACCUGCAGCAAGGAAUAAUACAGCAGGCUCACGCCGGCUUGUGUUGGUCAGCCAGCAGGAGAAUGGUCAAUAGGGGCGAUCGGGGUCAGCCACACGUGGGGGGUAGGGGUGAAAUCCGUUGAUCCUCCAUGGGUGAACAAGAGCGAAAGCAGCUGACAAGUACGCUUUCUUUGAUCAAGAACGAAAGUCUGGGGAUCGAAGAUGAUCAGAUACCAUCGUAGUCCAGACCCUAAAUGCUGCCAACCAUGGAUGGGCUAGCGUCCAUCCCGACCCGCCCCGCACAUUAGAGAAAUCAAAGUGUAUGGGCUCCGGGGGGAGUAUGGUUGCAAGACUGAAACUUAAAGGAAUUGACGGAAGAGCACACAAGGAGUGGAGCCUGCGGCUUAAUUUGACUCAACACGGGAAAACUCACUAGAGCAAGAGAGGGGUAUGAUGGCCGGCUCGAAGAGCCUGUUAAGAUUCCCUCAGCGGUGGUGCAUGGUCGUUCUUAGUUCGUGGAUUGAUUUGUCUGGUCUAUUCCGCUAACGAGCGAGAACCCGCCCUCAGGAUGUUGCCCAGUUCACCGUGUGUCAGGCUGAUGCCUCAAGGAGUGAAAUCCCCCCCGUGGGACGGAACGAAUUGGGCUGGCCGGGUACUGUAGGUGGCGAAAGGGGCCUGCUGGGCAACCGGUCGACAAGGUCGGUUUUUGGGUCAAUAACAGGUCAGUGAUGCCCUUAGAUGCUCUCGGCUGCACGCGCGCUACAAUGGCGGGGCCACCGGGUUUCAGCCCCUCACGGGUGCGGAAAAUCCUCUUAAAACCCGUCCCAUCCGGGACCAUGGCAUGUAAUGUGCUUUGCGAACACGGAAUUUCUAGUAUUCAUGGUUCACUAGACCAUGGCGAUUCUGUCCCUGCUCUUUGUACACACCGCCCGUCGCUCCUACCGAUUGGGCUGGGGGGUGAGAUUGGAGGACUCAAACAUAGGCAGCCCCCCUGUGGCCUGGUGCGCUUGCGAGCCACCUUUAGCCUUGACAAUCUCGUCGAACCUUUUGGUCUAGAGGAAGGAGAAGUC
rnacentral:rRNA from 1 species